AUUGCACGCUGGCGGCAGGCCUAACACAUGCAAGUCGAACGAGUGGCGGACGGGUGAGUAAUGUCUGGGAAACUGCCUGAUGGAGGGGGAUAACUAAUGGAAACGGUAGCUAAUACCGCAUACCAUCAGAUGUGCCCAGAUGGGAUUAGCUGGGAGGGGGGGUAACGGCUAACCUAGGCGACGCUCCAUAGCUGGUCUGAGAGGAUGACCAGCCAAACUGGAACUGAGACACGGUCCAGACUCCUACGGGAGGCAGCAGUGGGGAAGAUUGCACAAUGGGCGCAAGCCUGAUGCAGCCAUGCCGCGUGUGUGAAGAAGGCCUUCGGGUUGUAAAGCACUUUCAGCGGGGAGGCGUUACCCGCAGAAGAAGCACCGGCUAACUCCGUGCCAGCAGCCGCGGUAAUAC
rnacentral:rRNA from 1 species